ACUCCUACGGGAGGCAGCAGUGGGGAAUAUUGGACAAUGGGCGCAAGCCUGAUCCAGCCAUGCCGCGUGAGUGAUGAAGGCCCUAGGGUUGUAAAGCUCUUUCACCGGUGAAGAUAAUGACGGUAACCGGAGAAGAAGCCCCGGCUAACUUCGUGCCAGCAGCCGCGGUAAUACGAAGGGGGCUAGCGUUGUUCGGAUUUACUGGGCGUAAAGCGCACGUAGGCGGACUAUUAAGUCAGGGGUGAAAUCCCGGGGCUCAACCCCGGAACUGCCUUUGAUACUGGUAGUCUUGAGUGCGAGAGAGGUGAGUGGAAUUCCGAGUGUAGAGGUGAAAUUCGUAGAUAUUCGGAGGAACACCAGUGGCGAAGGCGGCUCACUGGCUCGAUACUGACGCUGAGGUGCGAAAGCGUGGGGAGCAAACAGGAUUAGAUACCCGAGUAGUCCC
rnacentral:rRNA from 1 species